rnacentral:lncRNA from 1 species
CCAAUUCACAAAUGCGAAUACUUUGCAAGUAUGCACUCACCUGAGACCAGUAUGAGAUCCAAAUGCUGCGAAUUUCAUGGGUGACACGAGGUUCGGAUAGGACAUCAACCCAUCGGUGGAGGAAUCGCUCUUGCCUGCAAUGAACAUUUAGAUUAUGAAAAUGACGUUUAAAUACAUAUAUUUUCCACAUAGAGACAUCAUAGGGUUGGCAGCUACCUGUCGGGUGCCCAAGAUCUGUAUCUCUCUCCAGGUUGCUUGAAGUUGUUCUCCUUCUCAAUGACGCACUGCAUAUCCAACCAAACCACCAUACACAAAUUAAACGCAAAGUUGCUACAUGAAUCAUGAUGUGCAGUACUCCAAAAGGAUUCAGACAUGCAACAAGCAUUCGUGCAUGGCUCUAACUUUUUACAUUCCAAGUGCCUUCAAGUUUCACAUAAAUAGAAAAACACAGAAAACAAGAACAUGGGGAAAACUAAGGGAAAUUAAAAUGAAUUCUUUUACAGUGAUACAAACUGACCUUCUCACGCUUUCCAGUGCAGAUAUUAGAAGGAAUUGGGAAGGUCUCAGCAUGGCGAGCAGGAUCAUACCUUGAUGGGAAGUAAUUAACCUACAGAACAGUAUGGCAUCUAAGCAGAGAAAACUUCGAUGAACAAAAAGCAAAAAUUGAAGUACAUGUCUGAAUCUUGGUCAAUGCAAGUGUAAAAAGACACAAAGGCAUUCAAUAAGCCUCAACAAUCGAGGGAAAAAGUGGUAUUAUACUUGGAAAGGAAAUUCUAAAAAGCAAAAGUACCUCCUCAUCCCUAUGCAUGAAAUUCAUAAAUCCUUCAUGGUGAUUGUUGUGUGAUGAGAACACUUGGGAGCAUUAACUGGGAGCUGCAAAUAGUUCGGGCCAAGACGGUGCCUCUGAGUAUCAGAAUAGGAGAAGAUUCGAGUUUGGAGCAACUUAUCAUCUGAAUAGUAGACACCAGGGACAACAAUGGCAGGGCAGAAAGCAAGUUGUUCAUUCUCUGCAAAGAAGUUAUCAAUGUUCUUAUUCAGUACCAAACGGCCAACCGGCUGCAGGGGAAGAAUAUCUUCAGGCCAGGUCUUAGUAACAUCAAGUGGGUCAAAGUCAAAUCUGUCUUCUUGAUCAGGAUCAAUUGUCUGAAUAAAAAGUUUCCACUCCGGGUAGUUGCCAGCUGCGAUGGAGUCAUAGAGAUCCUUGGUAGCGUGGCUGUGAUUAGCUCCUCCAACCUUAAUAGCCUCAUCCUCCAACAAACACUUGACUCCACAAGUGGGUUUCCAAUGAAAUUUCACGUAGUGUGCCUUCCCGGCCUUACUGAUAAGAGUAUAGGUGGUUAACACCAGACCCUUCCAUGUGCCUGUAAUCUUGUGGAACUCCCAGGUCAUCCAACAGGAAGGUGAACAUGUGGAGGCUUUCUGGAUGGUGGGAGAAGAAGUCAAGGAUCCUCCAAUUCUCUUGGAUGUGGGACUUAGGGUUUGGUUUGAGAGCAUGGACCAUGUCCGGGAAUUUCAUUCCAUCGCGGACAAAAAAGAUGGGGAAAUUGUUUCCCACCAAAUCAAAAUUACCCUGUUUAAGAAAAAUAAAGUCACGAGCAUGGGUAAAGAAAGGAAUGCAUGUAUAAACAAGCAAAAACAUUAGGACCAAAUGAUUUCCAAGAGUUAGUUAAUAAUAAUGUUACAAAGAAAUCAACAAUCUGUAGAAUCAAAACAAUAUUUAAAAAAUAAAAUAAAAGGAUGAAUGCCAUAUUUCAUGGAAGUCACAACACUACUGGGUUUAGUUAAAUAUGACUAAAGUACUUGUCACUGGAGCUGUGACUAGAGAUACCACCGCAUAUUUUUAACUACAAAUAUGCUGUUGAAUAUAAUUAUGAUCAGCGACGUGUGAAACUCAACUAUCAUUAUCCAGAGGUCAUAAAAGAUCAAUAAGCCAUUGAAACCUCACCUCUCUGGUGUAAAACUUCACCGCAAAACCACGAGGAUCCCUCAGGGUUUCAGGGCUGCCACGCUCAUGGAUAACAGUGGAGAAACGCACAAUGACAGGUGUCUGAACUCCAGGGGCUCGAAGGAAGUCAGCACAUGUAAGGUGAGAAAUAUCAUGGGUGACCUCAAAGAAACCUUUUGCACUGGCUCCCCUAGCAUGGACAACACGCUCUGGGAUCCGUUCUCUAUCAAAAUUGGCGAGUUUCUCCACCAGAUGGUAGUCCUCGAGCAGAAUUGGACCUGACAAGUAGACAAAGAAUUAAAUUCUUAACUGCAUCUACUCAACUCGACAUAAUCAACCAUCCCGAUUACAUGCAAAAGAUGUGAUAAGAAUGAAACUAGCGGUUAUACAUUUUAUAAAGUAUGUCAAAUAUAGAUGACUGCUAUCACUUGCAAAGAUAGUAACUUUUAUUUAGUUUCAGGCAACCAGACGAUCAAAAAAUCUAUCUUGACAACCUGAGAGGCAAAGAAAAAAAGGGACCGGCAGGAAUUCAUUGAAAACCAACAGACUGGGAACUAUAGUUGAGAAAUUUAAACAUAAAUGCCGAAUAGGGAAAGUUCUAACUUCAAAAACAAACUAUAUAAAUAAGUAAAUAUAUAUAAAUAUAUAUCAGAAAAACAACAAGAGUUUCAAAAUAGCAAUCAUCUUCAACUUGGUAGUGAUACAAACAUCCAAAAAGUCAUCUUGUAGUUCACAAUAACAUGGACAGAAUAUCGAUGCAUACACAGAUUACAGCAUCAAAACAUGAUUAUGAUUAUUCACAAGGUGCUCGAGAAGCGAUGUGCAACUAAAAAACCACAAAAAGGUAAAACUUGAAGAAAAUUUGCAAUUGAAAAUCCGUCAAAAGCAAAUAAACAAAUAGAUAAAUCAAAAGUGGAUUAAGAAUUAAAUCACCUCUCGGUCCAACAGUGAGAGAAGAGUUGUUGUUCCAAACUGGAGCACCGGAAUUGGUGGUCCAGAACGGGGAAUUGAAAGCACUUGAAGGGCGGUGCUGCAACACACACGAAAACAAACCAACCCAAAACCAUUAGAGAGGGCUUUGUUUGGUGGCCGAGAAAAUAAACAAGAAAAGUAAUUCAACAAGAAAAUCAAACUUAAAUCAAUCAAAUUAAGAGCAUAAACAAGUAAAAAAGAAAAAACCCCAGAAAGAUUAAGAUUAAGAUUAGCGUGUUACCCUGUAAGGAUCCAUGGAGGAAGGUCGGGUUAGAGAGAGAGCUUGAUGGAGAAGGUAAGAGGUGAGCAGAGGAAGGGGGUAAGCCACUCACUCACUCAGAUGGGGCAAUCGAAGGCUGAAAUGUAAGCAAAUUUGGUGGAUUUAUAAACGCUGACUUUCGGCUUUGGGUAUGGGUCGUGGGCGUGGCUCACGCUUUUGUGUGAAAUUUCCAUUUUCCGCUCUCGGCCUCACGUUAUCUUUAUCCACACACACACACAGCUGGAAGGUCACUACGUAUCUUUGCCAAUUUAUCGUCACUACAUAUCUUUGCCUAUAAACUACGUACGCAUCCGCAUGGCUAUAAAAGUAUGACUACACAACAUCUCGCAUAGAAACAGUGAAAAUCGGUGCCUGCAACCGGCACUUGUUACAUUUUUUUUUUGGAAAAAGUUUGACUGUAGUAAAACUACGUCAAAACUUCCUCAACUUUUAUUAAACAAGUCCAAAAUUACAAGUAAACAAGAAACCCAACUUACAAUUAUACACAAUCAAAAAGGACCGAAACCAACAGAAAACAAGAAAGAGGCCCCACAACAAUGAAGCCCCAAAAAAAACACAGAACAACCAACCGAGAAGCUUCUGCUGAAAUCUCCUCCACCGACAGAGAUCCAAGCCAGCCACCGGAAACGUCAUCCAUCACCGAGCAUCGCCGCCUCAGACAACACCGCCAACCCCGAACAGCAACCAGAUCACAUCCAUUAACAGGAGAUAAUUGGCACCAAACAGGGAUUACAUUGGAGUUGCAUAGUACGAACGAUUCGGACUUAUUACAUUGAGGCUACAUGUCACUUACAUGCGAAAUUUAGUGUGACAGUAUCACGAUACUCAAAACAUCUUGCAUUGGCAUCGCCCUCAAAUGCUCGGCCUCACGUUAAGACGAGACGCCAGUUUUUGACCAAAGGAUCGGUCAGCCU